GGAGGCAGCAGUGGGGAAUUUUGGACAAUGGGCGCAAGCCUGAUCCAGCCAUUCCGCGUGAGUGAAGAAGGCCUUCGGGUUGUAAAGCUCUUUCGCAAGGGAAGAAACGAUGCAGUCUAAUAAGCUGCGUUAAUGACGGUACCUUGAUAAGAAGCACCGGCUAACUACGUGCCAGCAGCCGCGGUAAUACGUAGGGUGCGAGCGUUAAUCGGAAUUACUGCGGCGUARAGCGUGCGCAGGCGGUUCUGCAAGUCAGAUGUGAAAUCCCSGGGCUCAACCUGGGAACUGCGUUUGAAACUACAGGGCUAGAGUAUAGGAGAGGGGGGUAGAAUUCCACGUGUAGCAGUGAAAUGCGUAGAGAUGUGGAGGAAUACCAAUGGCGAAGGCAGCCCCCUGGCCUAAUACUGACGCUCAUGCACSAAAGCGUGGGGAGCGACACAGGAUUAGAUACCCUGGUARUCCACKCCCUAAAYGAUGUCUACUAGUUGUUGGUGGAGUAAAAUCCCCCAUUARUCACGCARMUAACGCGUGAAGUAUACCUGSGCUUGGGGAGUACUGUCGCAAGAUAAAACUCAAAGGAAUUGACGGGGGCCCGCACAAUUGUGGAUUAUGUGGAUUUAUUCGAUGCACGCGGGGAAGCUUACCUGGGGUUGACAUGUACGGAACUUCUCCACAGAUUGAUUGGUGCUGCAAAGAAAUCCGUGACACAGGUGCUGCAUGCCUGUUGUCAACUCCUGCCGUGAGAUGAUGGGUUAAGUACCGCAACGAG
rnacentral:rRNA from 1 species